rnacentral:rRNA from 1 species
UCCAGACUCCUACGGGAGGCAGCAGUGGGGGAUAUUGCACCAUGGGGGGAACCCUGCUGCAGCGACGCCGCUUGGGUGACGGCGCGUUUCGGCGCUUCCCGCCCUAUCGGCCUUGAAGAAGGCGGCCGGUACCUGCCUCUUCAGCCCCGUCUCCCUACGUGCCCGCCGCCGCGGUAAUCCGUCGGGGGCAACCUUUAUCCGGAUUUCCUGGGUGUAAAGGGCGUGUAGGCGGGGACGCAAGUCAGAGGUGAAAACCGCGGGAGCAACCUGUGGCCUGCAUUUGAAACUGUGUUUCCUGAGUACUGGAGAGGCAGACGGAAUUCCUAGUGUAGCGGUGAAAUGCGUAGAGAGGAGGAGGAACACCAGUGGCGAAGGCGGUCUGCUGGACGGCAACUGACGGUGAGGCGCGAAAGCGUGGGGAGCAAACAGGAUUAGAUACCCGUGUA